ACCAGACUCCUACGGGAGGCAGCAGUGGGGGAUAUUGCACAAUGGGGGAAACCCUGAUGCAGCGACGCCGCGUGGGUGAAGGAGCGUUUCGGCGCGUAAAGCCCUAUCGGCAGGGAAGAAGGAGGACGGUACCUGACUAAGAAGCCCCGGCUAACUACGUGCCAGCAGCCGCGGUAAUACGUAGGGGGCAAGCGUUAUCCGGAUUUACUGGGUGUAAAGGGAGCGUAGGUGGCAUGGCAAGCCAGAAGUGAAAACCCGGGGCUUAACCCCGCGGAUCGCUUUUGGAACUGUCAGGCUGGAGUGCAGGAGGGGCAGGCGGAAUUCCUGGUGUAGCGGUGAAAUGCGUAGAUAUCAGGAGGAACACCGGUGGCGAAGGCGGCCUGCUGGACUGUAACUGACACUGAGGCUCGAAAGCGUGGGGAGCAAACAGGAUUAGAUACCCGAGUAUCA
rnacentral:rRNA from 1 species